ACUUGAUGGUGUGGGCAUUUAUGAAGCAGGUCCCUAAAACAUUCCUAAGUCUCAAAGAAAAGUUCUCUAUCCAUCUGUGUGAAACUCGUGAUUGCCCUUCGAAACU